UACGUAGGUGGCAAGCGUUGUCCGGAUUUACUGGGCGUAAAGAGCGCGCAGGCGGUCGUUCAAGUCGCGUGUGAAAGCCCCCGGCUCAACUGGGGAGGGUCACGCGAUACUGAUCGACUCGAAGGCAGGAGAGGGAAGUGGAAUUCCCGGUGUAGUGGUGAAAUGCGUAGAGAUCGGGAAGAACAUCAGUGGCGAAGGCGGUCUGCUGGGCCGUUGCUGACGCUGAGGCGCGACAGCGUGGGGAGCAAACAGG
rnacentral:rRNA from 1 species